UCCAAUGAGAAGUGAGAGCCGAGAGAAUGGACGGAAGUGAACUACUGUUUACAGUUUUCAGUCAGAAACGUAAUUAUUGUGAGGCGAGCAAAGCCCAUUUUCCAAAUUUCCUUAGACUCUUGGGGAUUUAUGAAAAAUAUUUGUUUAAGAAAUAAUUACCCCAGUGAAGAAAGGGAAGAGUUUAAAGGGAGCCCGCCUGGUCACUCCUUGGAGAAAAGAAAACAAGACCCGCAAAUCCGUGAUCACGAAUUCGUCCCCUCAGUUUAUAAACCGUACUCACGGAUUAUUAAACUGUUCCCUCAGUUUUACAAAGCAUGCGCAUGAGGUAACAAUCCGUGCUCUCAGAUUUGUAAACUGUACCCUCAGGUUUUGUAAUCCGUACCAACAAAUUCAUAAACCGUGCGCACGCUUUCGCAAUCUGUACCCAUGGUUGUGCAGACGGUACUCACUGAUUUGUAGCCCCUCCCUCAUUUGACACCUGAAGUCCACAAGCACAACAGCUCCACAAACAACGUGUUUAAACUUCAUAUUUUUUUUAUAUAUGAUAGAGGGUUGGAUGACCGUACUUCAAGAGGAGAAGGUAAAAACCAAUACAAUACGAAUAAUGCACAGAUUCCUUGGCUUAAUACAAUUGUAUAAAGUUAUUUAAUAAUAACAUAUUAACCAAAUAAGUAUUUAAAUAAUUAUAUAAAGUUGCAGAACUAUUUAAAAUUGAAUGCUACUUUUAAAUGCAUGAAUGAAAGUAGCAACUGAUUAAACUAGAUUUGCAAAACCUCCGUAAUUUUGCGUAAAAUCCUUGGACCUCACACCUACCAGCACCCCUACAGCUCCAUUGUUUUCCUGCUUUUGUUGUGCAAACGCCCCCAUCACCUGUGAGGCCUGGCUCAUUUGCAUUUGUUCACUCAGAGUAGCUCAGAUCCAAGGCAGGCCAAACCUCUGUCUGUGACGGAAAUCUGAGUCAGGCCGCACAGGUGAUGGGGCGUUUGCACAACAAAAGCAGGGCUGAAGAACUGUGAAAAUCUCAACAGGGGGGGAAAUCACACCUCGGGACCCGCACCAGAAAAAAAAAUCCAGUAAACCUAGUGUUAAAAUAUUAUUUCUUAAAAUAUCUCAUCUCCGCAAGCAUUGUGACACUCCGGGAGCUUGUGAAGAUUGCGGGAGCUGACCUGUCGAAAUUGGAGGACCUGGCAGCGUGUAUGGGAAUGCGGUCCCUGUGUGUUGUCUGUCAACUCUUACACCACAGGAGGUCCUCCCUAACAUCUGAGGAGUGUGUUCAGCUGAAGGACUAUCAGUAUACAGAGACCGGUCCUGCAGAGGAGGAACCCUUUUCCCAGCUGAACAUCGCUCCUGACCUCGACGGGUGUGAAGGUCCCCUCCUGCAGUGCUGGGGCGAGGGGGAGAUGGACUUUGGGACAGUGUCGGGGAAGCUGCUCUACAGAGCCAGUGUUAAAGUUUUAAAUAAGAAUAAACUGAGUGUGAGGGUCGACACCCCAUGGAGAAAUGUACUUGGUUUUAAUAAUGAUAUUAAACCAGACUGGAGACACUGUACAAACUACCGUUAACCAAAAAGACUGCCGACCUCCAGUGGAGGAUUUUACACUGUAUUCUCUCUGUGAACUUUUAUCUCUGUAUUAAACCCUGAUGUUACACACAACUGUCCUUUCUAUUCACAGAGACAAACUAAGCUUGGCACCAGAGCUAAGCUAAUGAUGAUGAUUAUUAUCAGUUAACCUAAUUUAUUUGAAUUUUAUUUAUUUAUUUAUUGAGUCAUGCUGAUUGUUUUUUAAGUGACUUGUGCAAAUAAAGGAUCUCUCUACACUCAGA